GCCGUUGGAGACCACAACGUUGAUAGGCGGGGUGUGUAAGUGCAGCGAUGCAUUGAGCUAACCCGUACUAAUUACCCGUGAGGCUUAACCAU
rnacentral:rRNA from 1 species